rnacentral:lncRNA from 1 species
UAUCCAACAAAAUCGAUCUAUUUAAACCAUGAUCAUGAGCAAGUGCAUAAAUAUACUCCCGAAAGAUAAGUGGGUAUAGGAAGUCAUGUUGCUGAUAUCUAUCUAGUUCUAAAUAUCCUUGAAAUUCUUCCAUUUUUAAUUCUAUUUGAACCAGAAAAGAAAUAGGUGAUUUAUUGGGUUAUCAAAUGAUACACAGUACGAUACAGUCAAAACAAGGUAUUAUAGUAAGAAAAGAAUGGAUACCUCGGAAACAAGUAAAGACUCAUCAACAGACUCUCUAGCCUCUCUUUUUACAUCUAAUUGAUUUAUGUUAAUUCUAGGGUAAGAAGAUGGUUAGAAGUCCUUUAUUUUUUCAAUCCAAUCGCUCUUUUGAUUUUGAAAAAAAAAAAUCUUUAUCAAUAUACUGCCUUCUUCUACACAUUUAUCUCUACCCUAUAAUGGGUAAUAGAUAAUAAUUAGGACUCAUAAGAAAUUUAUAAUCCACUCAUGGGAAAAGUCUUUCCCGCAUUAAGUACUAAUAUAUUUUUAACGUCUAAUUAGAUCGGGUAAUCAUUCAAAAAUUAAGAACAGAAGCUCGUUACUUUUUAUUUCCCUAUAAUUGGAACCGUAAUUAGGGCUCUACCCAUUUAUUCACUCGACCAAUUUUGGCAAGAAGAAGGAGUUGACCCGUAUCAUCUUGACUUGGUUCUAAUUUCUCUAUUUUUUUUUAAGAAUACCGAGUCGGGCUCUUCUCCUACCCGUAUAGAA